rnacentral:rRNA from 2 species
GGACCGAUGACUGGGGUGAAGUCGUAACAAGGUAGCCGUAUCGGAAGGUGCGGCUGGAUCACCUCCUUUCUAAGGAA